rnacentral:lncRNA from 10 species
CCACCAGCCAGCCUUUUCCUCUUGCAAGUUCCCUCUCUCUCACUAGAGAGAGAGAGCUGUUUUUCUUUCUCUUUCUUUUGUCUAUUAAACCCCUGCUCCUAAACUCGUGUGUGUCCGUGUCCUAAACUCUCCUGGCACCAGAAGAACCCUGAUUAUUUACCCAGACAACUGUAGCUGCUUCAAAGAUGCCUCUCACUCCAGUGGUAAAAUGAAGGCCUGGAUAAGUAAUAAUUUCAGAAGGGGCAAGUUGCAGUGUUACUUCCUUGGCACAUUGAUACAAGUUUCUGAUCCUAGAACAUCCUCUUUCCAUUUAUGAACUACCUACAGAAUCAACUGGGAACAGAGCCACACCCUUUUUUCCCCCAAACACAAAACCUUUGAUUCUUUUCAGAAUAAAAUUUGGCAAAGCAAAGAGUGAAAAAGCUUGAGAAAAGCACAGCCAAUCUAGUUUAAGGCUCCAGCCCACUGAAAUCUGCAGCCACACUCACUACUCCUAUAAAACUGCUGGUUUUGAAAAUCAUCAAUGAGACUCCAAUGGUGCAAAUAGAAUCAAAAGUUCCUGAUAUAGAAUAAGCAAAUGAUGGAAGAAGCCAAGUUUCCUGAGUGGCCACUAGGAAAACUCUGUCUUCUUUAUCAAAACUAUGAGGUAUGUGUCCUCCAAAUUCUUAUGUUGGAACUUCAGCCCCAAAGUGAUUGUAUUAGAAGGUGAAACAUUUAAGAGAUGAUUAAGUCAUAAGGGCUCUGACCUUCUGAGUGGGAUUAAUGUUCUUAUAAAAGGGCUGGCGAGAACUAGCUAUGCCUUUUUGCCCUUCUGCCAUGUGAGGACACAGCAACAAGGAGCUGUCUAAAAAGCUGAGACGGAGCCUUCACCAGACACUGAAUCUGCCGGCGACUUGAUCUUGGAUUUCCCAGCCUCAAGAACUGUGAAAAUAAACUUCUGUUGCUUAUAAAUUACUCCGUCUGUGGUAUGUUGUUAUAGCAGCAGGGAUGGACUAAGAAACUCUCUCUUUAUAUAAACAAUUACUUGUGGAGAAGUCUGUAUAAUUACAGAGUAAAAUCUUUAAAAUCUCAUGGGUUUAUAAGUAGCCUUACCUGCUGUCUUAAAUUCAAGAUUCCCACAUUUGCACCUCUUUAGUAUAUAGAAUAUAGACUAUAAAAAUAGUCUUGGCUAUCUAAGGCUAGUGGCCAACUGUCUAUUGCAGAGAAAGAGUGAGAAAUUUAAUAUAAAUAUUCAUUCUUACAUAUCCACUUCCUAGGCUAAUUAUCUAUUUAAGAAACUUUGCCUUAUUGCUACACACAUACAUUUAUAAAUAAAAGUACUUCUGCAUUUUUCAAAUAUAAAUUAGUUUUUUAAGACUUGCGUGCAUACCUAAAAGCAUAUGCACCAGAUAUGUCCAUAUAAGCACAAUUCCAAUCAAAGAAAAAGACUGUACUUAAACCAACAGUAAGGCCUUAAAUCAACUAGGAAAUCCAAUUCAAUCAUAUUUCAGGGUUUAUCAUUUCAGUCAUACAAACUUUAUCCUGGACAAAAACUGAUGUGGGAUGUGUGUGUGUGUAGUUCUAAAUAUUGUAAGCAAAUUUAUUUAAAUGAGCUCAUCUGGAAAUACUGAGUUCUAUGUAAUACAUUUCUUUGUAUUGAACACAAUUGAUUUCUGUGUGUCAAAACAAUGAAAGUGGGUCAUUAAAGCAAUUAUUGUUACUGUGUAAUUUUACUACAUAAAUUACCAAAUAAAUAAUAUUAUUGCAGAAAAACACAAGCUUACUAUCUUUUUACUUAUUUUCAAGUGAAAAGAUGGAAGAGCUAUUCCUAUGUCCUGAAAAGUCCAUAUAUUAGUUGAACAUGCUGAUAUCUGAUUCAUGAAAUCUCCAUUGCUUCAGUACCAUAGAUGUGAAAUGAUUUUAAAGCAUAUUCACAUUUGUCAUCCUAUGUUUUUAUAUUUAAUAAUUUUACUCUAAUUUUACAGUUACUGAAACUGUUACAUAGCUGUGCUGUUCUAUAUCUGGACAUGCUGUGUAUAACAGUAUGUUAUUUUUACAGGUACCGGACUUUAUUCUCUAGAUCUUUUCAGGGGCAUGCAUAGCUCUUAAAGCACCCAUGCUCAUAUUCAAAUCUUCUAAUCUUUU